rnacentral:rRNA from 1 species
CAGUCGCAUCCUUCAGAAAUCAACCCGACUUAGGUCUCGUGCACUUUCUGUUUGGAUGGGUCAGCAUCAAUUUUGACCGUUGGACAAAGGCCUUGGGAAGGUGGCAUCCUUUUGGGUGUGUUAUAGACCAUGGUUCGUAAUACAGCGGUUGAGAUUGUGGAACGCAGUGCGACAUUUUAUAUGUUUGGGGCUUACGGGCUCACAUUCACGCACUUGGGAUGCUGGCAAAAUGGCUUCAAUCGACCCGUCUUGAAACACGGACCAAGGAGUCUAACAUAUAU